GGCCCCGUAACGCAGCUCGGACGACGUGCCGGACCGCAUGUACCGGAGGACGCCGGUUCGAAUCCGGCCGGGGCCA
rnacentral:tRNA from 1 species